UGAUGGCCGCUGCCAUCAAUAUGAAAAGGUGCAUAACUUCAUUUGUCAUGAAGAAAUUGCAAAUUGAAAUCACACUACAAUCCCAUUAGAUACCCACCAGAAAGAGCAAAAUGAACACAGGUGUCUGUAAAAAUGUGGAGCAACUAGUACUCACCUGCAUGGUUAGCAAGGGUGUAAUGUGGUAGAAUCAUUUUGGAAAACUCUGAAAAUCUUAUUAAAGUGGAGCACUUGCAUUAACUGGGCCCAGCUAGUCAUGGCGGGAACAAUCUCAAUGCAGCAUGUUCAUACAGUGGAGCAUGAUGUAGCAAAGAGAAGGAAACAUGAUUGCCGCUUGCAGGAACACAGGAGAAUCCUCAUAAGCACAGUGUUGAUGUAAAUCAGCUACAUGCCAAAGGGUACACACUGCACUGCACUCCACUUAUAUAAACUUCAGAAACAGGCAAACUAUUUGUGGCAUCAGAAUUUAUCUUUGCAGAGCCUGAAGCUUCUGGAAAGGGUGGUAAUAUUCUCCUCCUAGGUAGACCUGGGCACCGGCUACAUCAUGGGCUGACUCUGGGGCCUUGUCAAGCUGUAAAAUUUUCAUUUGUGCACUUUUUAAAUGCAUAUUUCAAUAAAAAGGCUUUUUCUUAAGUUUCUGGUGACAACUUCUUGGAGAAAAAAUAUUCCUGAAUAUACAAAACAGUGCGUGUUUAUCAUAAAAAAAUGUGGAAAAUAGAAGAAAGCUAAAAUCAUGUAUAAGUCUGCCACUCUGUAUUUUGAUAUAAUCUUUUCCUGUGUUUUUCUAUUUAUACAUUGGGUGUGUACAUGUGAAACACAAUGUCCACUAUACAGCAUAUCAAUUUUAUAGCCUUCUUUAAAAACCACACAAUGUGUCCAAAGCACUCUCUCUUGCCAUUAACUAUUCUUCAACACACUUCAAAAGGCUGUCUUCUCCAGACACAGCCCACUGCUGCAUUUAGCUCACGGCCUCGGCCAUAUGUACUUUCAUCUUACACCGCCUCAACGACACAUCUGCUGAAGCCUGGAGCUGAAACUGAGCCAUUAAAAAACAGAUCAAUUUAGACCUAACAGGAUCUUACCAACGUAUUUUGCAAUGGGUGGCCCUGAACCCAGUGUUACUUAAUGUUUUCAUUGUUGGCCUGGGUUAGGAAACCCUACCAGCAUCACCCACACAGAGAAGCAGCAGCCUUGCUUACAUGCAGAUGAGGGGCCAUGCCCUGGUCUCAGUCUACCUGCCCGCUGGCAGUGUAGCAUGACGGCAGUUGUGUGCACAAGACUCCAGGCUCAGGGGACCCAAGUCAAGGCACCAGCUCUGCAGCUGCCACAUGUGUGGCUCUGGGCAAGGGCCCAAGAGAUACGCUGUCUCUUCAUAGAAACUUUCUCCAGUGCUCGCCUGCCCACAGACCUGGUUAGAGGCCCCGCUUUUUAUGGCCCCCCGGACUUAACCACGUCACAGAAAUCAUCACAUUGUGUUGAGCCUCCUGGGUUUCUUUGGACUGGAAGCUCCCUGAGGGCAGGGUUAUCUUGUUCGUCCUUUCAUCCCCAGGGCCUGGCAUAAGACCUGGCGAAGAGCUGCUGCAUGCUAAAGCUUUGCUAAUUGAAUGACUGUGUGUUAUUUCUUAAAUUCAAUGAGAAAUCACUCUACAAAGUCCAGGAGAAUGAAAGUCUCAAUAACCGAGCUUUCUCUCCCCUGAGCACCUACACAGGAAACUCAAUUACAGUUGCAAGAGGCCUCGAAGACCUGCAGGAUUUAGAAGAAUCCAGGCAUCUCCGGGCCCCUGGCUGGGGCUUCUGCAUCUGACAAUAGAGAUGGCUUUGCUCAGGGGAAGAAUACUUUGGGCUCUGACUCACUCCAUGAGCACUGGGUAGCGUCAAGCAUUUGGAAUGGAUUCAGAUAAGGGCCAGCCCGGCUGGUGCCAGAGCAGGGCACAGAGCCUGUUUCCUACCGAUCCUGGAUCCUGACAGUGCGACUCCGCGUGCGGCUUCUCCCUGCCAUGGUCUUAGAUUUCAACCUGUCUCAGUGUAUGAAGAGCGAGAAGGAUUCAUUCCAGGUCUGUUUGUGAAUCUUUUCUAAGAAGUGUUUCCUAGGCAACUUCUAGAAGGCAUUAAACAAUAAUGGGUUUUAGUUUUUCAAGAAACCUUGGAGAUCUAGGACAUCCUGUCUUUACCAACGGAGACACCAAGGCACAGAGAUUCCAGGGGAUGUGACGGCAGAACCAUUUCCUUGUUCUUGUCGGCUCGCCUUCUGCUGGCUGUGGCUUCCUUUGUGUCUAGCAUGUAACCCUGCAUGCCUAUUCAGGAUUAAGGGAGGCCAAGUUCUGCCUCCUGGCUGGUGAAUGCCGGGAGGCCCAGGAGGAAGCAGUAGCUGGUGAGGGAAACGCGCAGCAGAUUGACAGCUGGGCGGAGCAGGGCAGGCCUCCCGGAGCACAUUUCUGCACAGAGAACUAGGAAGCAAUAAAACAAACUUCACGGAAAGUGGAUCUUAUCCUAAAAAUAGCAGGUUUAAUGCUGACAUGCCUACCUUUUGAUGACUUACGUUUGUUUUUGCAUAAUUAUGAUUACUAAUUUGAAAGCAGCUAGGAAAUAAUCUAAUAAGGAUGAAAAUAAUAAAAAUACAUUUAGAAACGUAAAUUGACAUAAUAUUAUCAUGUUUUAGUCAAUUCAAAUGAAUAUUUCCAAGGAAUUCAGUUUAUAAUUACAUUUAGGAAAUAAUAGUGCCCUAAACUUUUUUUUUUCUUUUCUUUUCUUUUUUUUUUUUUUUGAGACUGGGUCUCACUUUGUCACCCAGGCUGGGAUGGAAUGACAUAAUCAUAGCUCACUGCAGCCUCGAAUUCUGGGCCUCAAGAGAAACCCUCACCUCAGUCCCCUACCCCCAGUCCCCUACCCUCACUCCCCUACCUCCAGUCCCCUACCCCCAAGUAGCCAGACUACAGGCGCAGGCCAUCACACCCUUCAAUUUUUUUUUUUUUUUUUUUUUGAGACAGCGUUUUGCCAUGUUCCCAGGCUGGUCUAAAACUCCUGAGAUCAAGCAAUUUGCCAGCCUCAGCCUCCCAAAAUGCUGGAAUUACAGGAGUGAGCUACCAUAUCUGGUACCCUAAACGUUUUUGAUUGGCUAGGGGAGAUAAUACUGAGAGGUGAAGCCAGCUGGACUUCCUGGGUCGAGUAGGGGCUUGGAGAACUUUUCUGUCUAGCUAAAGGAUUGUUAACACACCAAUCAGCACUCUGUAAAAUGGACCAAUCAGCAGGACGUGGGUAGGGCCAAAUAAGGGAAUAAAAGCUGGCCACCAGAGCCACCAAUGACCACCCGCGGGGGUCCCCUUCCACGCUGUGGAAGCUUUGUUCUUUCGCUCUUCACAAUAAAUCUUGCUGCUCUUUGGCUCUGCACCACCCUUAAGAGCUUUAACACUCACUGCGAAGGUCUGUGGCUUCACUCCUGAAGUCAGCAAGACCACGAACCCACCAGAAGGAAGAAACUCUGGACACAUUUGAACAUCUAAAGGAACAAACUCCAGACACACCAUCUUUAAGAACUGUAACACUCACCACGAGGGUCUGCGGCUUCAUUCUUGAAGUCAGCGAGACCAAGAACCCACUGGAAGGAACCAAUUCAGGACACAAUAUGAUGAAUGGUUUUUAGUUGUUGUUGUUGUUGUUUAGUGAUUUUUAAAAUUAUUAUUGUAGUUUAAAUUCUGGUAUAUAUGUGCAGAACGUGCAGGUUUGAUACAUAGGUAUACACAUGCCAUGGUGGUUUGCUGCACCUAUCAACCUGUCAUCUACAUUAGGUAUUUCUCCUAAUGCUAUUCUUCCCCUCAACAGGCCCAGGUGUGUGAUGUCCCCCUCCCUGUUUCUAUGUGUUCUCAUUGUUCAACUCCCAUUUAUGAGUGAGAACAUGCAGUGUUUGGUUUUCUGUUCCUGUGUUAGUUUGCUGAGAAUGAUGGUUUCCAGCUUCAUCCAUGUCCCUGCAAAAGACAUAAACUCAUCCGUUUUUAUGGCUGCAUAGUAUUCCAUGGUGUUAAAGACUUAAACAUAAGACCUCAAACCACCAUAAAAAGCCUAGAAGAAAACCUAGGCAAUAUCUUUCAGGACAUAGGCAUGGGCAAAGACUUCAUGAUUAAAACACCAAAAGUAAUGGCAACAAAAGCCAAAAUUGACAAGUGGGAUCUAAUUAAACUAAAGAGCUUCUGCACAGCAAAAAGAACUAUUGUCAGAGUGAACAGGCAACCUACAGAAUGGGAGAAAAUUUGUGCAAUCUAUCCAUCUAACAAACGGCUAAUAUCCAGAAUCUACAAGGAACUUAAACAAAUUUACAAGAAAAAAAAAAA